AGGGAGAAGAGGGUGAGGUGGGAGAACCUGGAGAGUUAGGUUCUCAAGGCCCUCCGGGAUCACAAGGCCCAAGAGGAUAUAUUGGCAUGGAGGGUCAAAGGGGUGAUAUGGGGCCUCGAGGAGAAGUUGGUGAAGCUGGUGG